GAAGGGAAAAGAGAGUCGUGCUUAUACCCUAUGUUUCAUUUAAUCCAAAGUAACCAAGAAUAAACAAAACAGAACAUAUGACUUCCAAAAUAGAGAGAGAGGAGUAUUAGAGAAGUAAUGUUGACAACCCACCAGCUACCUUUAAGAUCAAGAGAGCAAUUACAUAGCACAAGGAAGACUCCUACUGUGACUGAGAAGACCACAAUUCUGUGCAGCUCUUUACAAAGCACAUGGAAGCAGUACACAGAACCUCAGGAUCCUGCACAAGACCUUAGAAACAACGGAAAGAAGCCACUCUGCUCUGCUCUGCUCCCCACAAAAGCAAACUGGGCCGGACAGCAAGUAGGGUGUGUUUGCAUCAGCUCUGCUCUGGCCAUCUCAUAAGCCGAGUUUCCCAGAAGAAGCCCAGCCGCAAGGAAGACAAGGGAAUGUUGUUUCACAGAUGGCUCCAUUGCAGCCACUCUUAAAGUGACAGAGGGAUGUGUAGUCACAACUGAUGAAAGCCAUCAGAGGAAGCAGAGGACAGGCAAGACUGGGAGACACGUGAGAUCAGUCAGGACACAAUGACACCCGCCACCUGUUGCAGUAGCAGUCAUCUGUCCACUGAACUGAUGACAUCGGCAGUCACUUGUUGAAAAUGAAUGCAACGACGGACCGUCUCCUGCAGACCCUGGCUGCUUCAUUUCACCUGGCAUUGAUCCAGUUUUAGGACCAUGUUCUACAGAUAAUUUAGUCCUAAAUAAAAAUACUCUUAACAGUA